rnacentral:rRNA from 1 species
UACAGAGGGUGCGAGCGUUAAUCGGAAUUACUGGGCGUAAAGGGCGCGUAGGCGGUUAGGUAAGUAAGAUGUGAAAUCCCCGGGCUUAACCUGGGAACUGCAUCUUAGACUGCCGGACUAGAGUACAGUAGAGGGUAGUGGAAUUUCCGGUGUAGCGGUGAAAUGCGUAGAUAUCGGAAGGAACAUCAGUGGCGAAGGCGGCUACCUGGACUGAUACUGACGCUGAGGCGCGAGAGCGUGGGGAGCAAACAGGAUUAGAUACCCUGGUAGU